AUUGAACGCUGGCGGCAUGCCUUACACAUGCAAGUCGAACGGCAGCACGGGAGCAAUCCUGGUGGCGAGUGGCGAACGGGUGAGUAAUAUAUCGGAACGUGCCCAGUCGUGGGGGAUAACGUAGCGAAAGCUACGCUAAUACCGCAUACGAUCUAUGGAUGAAAGCGGGGGAUCGCAAGACCUCGCGCGAUUGGAGCGGCCGAUAUCAGAUUAGGUAGUUGGUGAGGUAAAGGCUCACCGAGCCGACGAUCUGUAGCUGGUCUGAGAGGACGACCAGCCACACUGGGACUGAGACACGGCCCAGACUCCUACGGGAGGCAGCAGUGGGGAAUUUUGGACAAUGGGCGCAAGCCUGAUCCAGCAAUGCCGCGUGCAGGAUGAAGGCCUUCGGGUUGUAAACUGCUUUUGUACGGAACGAAACGGUGAGCUCUAAUACAGUUUGCUAAUGACGGUACCGUAAGAAUAAGCACCGGCUAACUACGUGCCAGCCGCCGCGGUAA
rnacentral:rRNA from 1 species